rnacentral:rRNA from 1 species
GCUUGUCUCAAAGAUUAAGCCAUGCAUGUGUAAGUAUAGUAUCUACGGCGAAACUGCGAAUGGCUCAUUAAAACAGUUAUAGUUUAUUUGAUGGAUCCCCUAUAUGGAUAACCGUAGUAAUUCUAGAGCUAAUACAUGCUUGAAAUGUCCGACUUUAAGAGGACAGUGUUUAUUAGAUAAAGCCAGCAUAAGGUGAUUCACAAUAUCUACACAAAUCGCACUUUUGGUACGAUGCGUCAUUCAAGUAUCUGCCCUAUCAGCUUUGAUGGUAGUGUAUUGGACUACCAUGGCUUUAACGGGUAACGGAGAAUUAGGGUUCGGUUCCGGAGAAAGAGCCUGAGAAACGGCUAUUACAUCUAAGGAAGGCAGCAGG